GAUAUGUGAAUACAUAGCAUAUCAGAAGGCACACCCGGAGAACUGAAACAUCUUAGUACCCGGAGGAAGAGAAAGAAAAUUCGAUUCCCUUAGUAGCGGCGAGCGAAACGGGAAGAGCCCAAACCAACAAGCUUGCUUGUUGGGGUUGUAGGACACUCUAUACGGAGUUACAAAGGACGACAUUAGACGAAUCAUCUGGAAAGAUGAAUCAAAGAAGGUAAUAAUCCUGUAGUCGAAAAUGUUGUCUCUCUUGAGUGGAUCCUGAGUACGACGGAGCACGUGAAAUUCCGUCGGAAUCUGGGAGGACCAUCUCCUAAGGCUAAAUACUCUCUAGUGACCGAUAGUGAACCAGUACCGUGAGGGAAAGGUGAAAAGCACCCCGGAAGGGGAGUGAAAUAGAACCUGAAACCGUGUGCUUACAAGUAGUCAGAGCCCGUUAAUGGGUGAUGGCGUGCCUUUUGUAGAAUGAACCGGCGAGUUACGAUUUGAUGCAAGGUUAAGCAGUAAAUGUGGAGCCGUAGCGAAAGCGAGUCUGAAUAGGGCGUUUAGUAUUUGGUCGUAGACCCGAAACCAGGUGAUCUACCCUUGGUCAGGUUGAAGUUCAGGUAACACUGAAUGGAGGACCGAACCGACUUACGUUGAAAAGUGAGCGGAUGAACUGAGGGUAGCGGAGAAAUUCCAAUCGAACCUGGAGAUAGCUGGUUCUCUCCGAAAUAGCUUUAGGGCUAGCCUCAAGUGAUGAUUAUU
rnacentral:rRNA from 1 species